rfam:Dipodomys ordii contig_48961, whole genome shotgun sequence.
GGGAAGUUGGCUCAGUGGUAGAGUGCUUGCCUUGCAUGCAUGAGGCCCUGGGUUCCAUUCCUCAGCUCCACA